CCGGCGGCACCUGCAUAGACCGUCUCGCUGGGAACAAAGAGAUGCUCCCCUGAUUUGGAGCUGUAGAAAGGAGGUGGUUGUAGACACAAAGUGGGGAUACACAACUCCCAGUCAUAAUAUUCUUUAUCUUGGCUCGUUGUUUGGGGAUGGACGCAUCAAUCUGAUGGCGCUCUCCUCCAUGCCAAACGGAUCCUUGGUUCGGAGGCGCGCGGCGCCGACGAUGACAACCUUUCUAUCGACGCAAGGGCAGCAGGAGCUCAUGACGCUGUUGAUGCCACCACCAUGCAUGGGGUUGAUGCAAGGUGGGACAAUGCGAUCACUAAUGGGGAGAACAUAAAACUUCAAUUGAGGGCACUGUGAUUCUCUAGCUACAUGUAUCAUAUCCAAAAGAGAUCCUUAUUUCACCUUUGUUUAUAGGUAUUCAACGUGAGGAAUUAUAUACUUUUGGAGUGGAGCUAUCAAAUAUAUAUUAUGAGUUUCUAAAACAUCUAUUAUAAGGAGUUGAAGAGAGCUUCCUCUGCCCCAGCAGAUUCUGAGAAAACCAACCAGCAGAGAACAUGAACAAAUAUAGUGACGAGAAAGGGUGGAGCUGAGUACAACACACAUGGAUAUGAUGGUCUCCCCUAU